rnacentral:rRNA from 1 species
CGUAGGGUGCGAGCGUUAUCCGGAAUUAUUGGGCGUAAAGAGCUCGUAGGCGGUUUGUCGCGUCUGUCGUGAAAAGUCCGGGGCUUAACCCCGGAUCUGCGGUGGUACGGGCAGACUAGAGUGCAGUAGGGGAGACUGGAAUUCCUGGUGUAGCGGUGGAAUGCGCAGAUAUCAGGAGGAACACCGAUGGUGAAGGCAGGUCUCUGGGCUGUAACUGACGCUGAGGAGCGAAAGCAUGGGAGCGAACAGGAUU